rnacentral:rRNA from 1 species
UGGGGAAUAUUGCACAAUGGGGAAAGCCCUGAUGCAGCGACGCCGCGUGGAGGAAGAAGGUCUUCGGAUUGUAAACUCCUGUCCCAGGGGACGAUAAUGACGGUACCUGAGUAAGAAGCCCCGGCUAACUACGUGCCAGCAGCCGCGGUAAUACGUAGGGGGCAAGCGUUAUCCGGAUUUACUGGGUGUAAAGGGAGCGUAGACGGCGAUGCAAGCCAGAUGUGAAAGCCCGCGGCUCAACUGCGGGACUGCAUUUGAAACUGUAUGGCUGGAGUGCAGGAGAGGCAGGCGGAAUUCCUAGUGUAGCGGUGAAAUGCGUAGAUAUUAGGAGGAACACCAGUGGCGAAGGCGGCCUGCUGGACUGUAACUGACGUUGAGGCUCGAAAGCGUGGGGAGCAAACAGGAUUAGAUACCC